UACGGGGGGGGUAAGCGUUGUUCGGAAUUACUGGGCGUAAAGGGCUCGUAGGCGGCCAACUAAGUCAGACGUGAAAUCCCUCAGCUUAACUGGGGAACUGCGUCUGAUACUGGAUGGCUUGGAUUCGGGAGAGGAAUGCGGAAUUCCAGGUGUAGCGGUGAAAUGCGUAGAUAUCUGGAGGAACACCGGUGGCGAAGGCGGGUCUCUGGGCAGUAACUGACGCUGAGGAGCGAAAGCGUGGGGAGCGAACAGG
rnacentral:rRNA from 1 species